rnacentral:rRNA from 1 species
GGUCAAGUGAAGAAGCGCAUACGGUGGAUGCCUUGGCAGUCAGAGGCGAUGAAAGACGUGGUAGCCUGCGAAAAGCUUCGGGGAGUCGGCAAACAGACUUUGAUCCGGAGAUGUCUGAAUGGGGGAACCCAACCAUCAUAAGAUGGUUAUCUUGUACUGAAUACAUAGGUGCAAGAGGCGAACCAGGGGAACUGAAACAUCUAAGUACCCUGAGGAAAAGAAAUCAACCGAGAUUCCCUUAGUAGUGGCGAGCGAACGGGGACUAGCCCUUAAGUGGCUUUGAGAUUAGCGGAACGCUCUGGAAAGUGCGGCCAUAGUGGGUGAUAGCCCUGUACGCGAAAAUCUCUUGGUCAUGAAAUCGAGUAGGACGGAGCACGAGAAACUUUGUCUGAAUAUGGGGGGACCAUCCUCCAAGGCUAAAUACUACUGACUGACCGAUAGUGAACUAGUACCGUGAGGGAAAGGCGAAAAGAACCCCGGAGAGGGGAGUGAAAUAGAUCCUGAAACCGUAUGCGUACAAGCAGUGGGAGCCCACUUUGUUGGGUGACUGCGUACCUUUUGUAUAAUGGGUCAGCGACUUAUUUUCAGUGGCGAGCUUAACCGAAUAGGGGAGGCGUAGCGAAAGCGAGUCUUAAUAGGGCGUCUAGUCGCUGGGAAUAGACCCGAAACCGGGCGAUCUAUCCAUGGGCAGGUUGAAGGUUAGGUAACACUGACUGGAGGACCGAACCGACUACCGUUGAAAAGUUAGCGGAUGACCUGUGGAUCGGAGUGAAAGGCUAAUCAAGCUCGGAGAUAGCUGGUUCUCCUCGAAAGCUAUUUAGGUAGCGCCUCAUGUAUCACUGUAGGGGGUAGAGCACUGUUUCGGCUAGGGGGUCAUCCCGACUUACCAAACCGAUGCAAACUCCGAAUACCUACAAGUGCCGAGCAUGGGAGACACACGGCGGGUGCUAACGUCCGUCGUGAAAAGGGAAACAACCCAGACCGUCAGCUAAGGUCCCAAAGUUAUGGUUAAGUGGGAAACGAUGUGGGAAGGCUUAGACAGCUAGGAGGUUGGCUUAGAAGCAGCCACCCUUUAAAGAAAGCGUAAUAGCUCACUAGUCGAGUCGGCCUGCGCGGAAGAUGUAACGGGGCUCAAACCAUACACCGAAGCUACGGGUAUCACGUAAGUGAUGCGGUAGAGGAGCGUUCUGUAAGCCUGUGAAGGUGAGUUGAGAAGCUUGCUGGAGGUAUCAGAAGUGCGAAUGCUGACAUGAGUAACGACAAUGGGUGUGAAAAACACCCACGCCGAAAGACCAAGGUUUCCUGCGCAACGUUAAUCGACGCAGGGUUAGUCGGUCCCUAAGGCGAGGCUGAAAAGCGUAGUCGAUGGAAAACAGGUUAAUAUUCCUGUACUUCUGGUUAUUGCGAUGGAGGGACGGAGAAGGCUAGGCCAGCUUGGCGUUGGUUGUCCAAGUUUAAGGUGGUAGGCUGAGAUCUUAGGUAAAUCCGGGAUCUUAAGGCCGAGAGCUGAUGACGAGUUACCCUUUGGGUGACGAAGUGGUUGAUGCCAUGCUUCCAAGAAAAGCUUCUAAGCUUCAGGUAACCAGGAACCGUACCCCAAACCGACACAGGUGGUUGGGUAGAGAAUACCAAGGCGCUUGAGAGAACUCGGGUGAAGGAACUAGGCAAAAUGGCACCGUAACUUCGGGAGAAGGUGCGCCGGUGAGGGUGAAGGACUUGCUCCGUAAGCUCAUGCCGGUCGAAGAUACCAGGCCGCUGCGACUGUUUAUUAAAAACACAGCACUCUGCAAACACGAAAGUGGACGUAUAGGGUGUGACGCCUGCCCGGUGCCGGAAGGUUAAUUGAUGGGGUUAGCUAACGCGAAGCUCUUGAUCGAAGCCCCGGUAAACGGCGGCCGUAACUAUAACGGUCCUAAGGUAGCGAAAUUCCUUGUCGGGUAAGUUCCGACCUGCACGAAUGGCGUAACGAUGGCGGCGCUGUCUCCACCCGAGACUCAGUGAAAUUGAAAUCGCUGUGAAGAUGCAGUGUAUCCGCGGCUAGACGGAAAGACCCCGUGAACCUUUACUAUAGCUUUGCACUGGACUUUGAAUUUGCUUGUGUAGGAUAGGUGGGAGGCUUUGAAGCGUGGACGCCAGUUCGCGUGGAGCCAUCCUUGAAAUACCACCCUGGCAACUUUGAGGUUCUAACUCAGGUCCGUUAUCCGGAUCGAGGACAGUGUAUGGUGGGUAGUUUGACUGGGGCGGUCUCCUCCUAAAGAGUAACGGAGGAGUACGAAGGUGCGCUCAGACCGGUCGGAAAUCGGUCGUAGAGUAUAAAGGCAAAAGCGCGCUUGACUGCGAGACAGACACGUCGAGCAGGUACGAAAGUAGGUCUUAGUGAUCCGGUGGUUCUGUAUGGAAGGGCCAUCGCUCAACGGAUAAAAGGUACUCCGGGGAUAACAGGCUGAUACCGCCCAAGAGUUCAUAUCGACGGCGGUGUUUGGCACCUCGAUGUCGGCUCAUCACAUCCUGGGGCUGAAGCCGGUCCCAAGGGUAUGGCUGUUCGCCAUUUAAAGUGGUACGCGAGCUGGGUUUAGAACGUCGUGAGACAGUUCGGUCCCUAUCUGCCGUGGACGUUUGAGAUUUGAGAGGGGCUGCUCCUAGUACGAGAGGACCGGAGUGGACGAACCUCUGGUGUUCCGGUUGUCACGCCAGUGGCAUUGCCGGGUAGCUAUGUUCGGGAAAGAUAACCGCUGAAAGCAUCUAAGCGGGAAACUUGCCUCAAGAUGAGAUCUCACUGGAACCUUGAGUUCCCUGAAGGGCCGUCGAAGACUACGACGUUGAUAGGUUGGGUGUGUAAGCGCUGUGAGGCGUUGAGCUAACCAAUACUAAUUGCCCGUGAGGCUUGACCAU